AUUGAACGCUGGCGGCAGGCUUAACACAUGCAAGUCGAGCGGAGAGAGGUAGCUUGCUACUGAUCUUAGCGGCGGACGGGUGAGUAAUGCUUAGGAAUCUGCCUAUUAGUGGGGGACAACAUUUCGAAAGGAAUGCUAAUACCGCAUACGUACUACGAGAGAAAGCAGGGGAUCUUCGGACCUUGCGCUAAUAGAUGAGGCUAGGUCGGAUUAGGUAGUUGGUGGGGUAAAGGCCUACCAAGGCGACGAUCUGUAGCGGGUCUGAGAGGAUGGUCCGCCACAAUGGGACUGAGACACGGCCCAGACUCCUACGGGAGGCAGCAGUGGGGAAUAUUGGACAAUGGGCGGAAGCCUGAUCCAGCCAUGCCGCGUGUGUGAAGAAGGCCUUAUGGUUGUAAAGCACUUUAAGCGAGGAGGAGGCUACUUUAGUUAAUACCUAGAGAUAGUGGACGUUACUCGCAGAAUAAGCACCGGCUAACUCUGUGCCAGCAGCCGCCGUAA
rnacentral:rRNA from 1 species